GGGUGAGUCGGCCCCUAAGGCGAGGCAGAAAUGCGUAGUCGAUGGGAAACGGGUUAAUAUUCCCGUACUUAUAUAAUCAGUGAUGGAGGGACGGAGAAGGCUAGGCAAGCUUGGCGUUGGUUGUCCAAGUGAAAGUGUGUAGGCUGGAAUUUUAGGUAAAUCCGGAAUUCUAAGGCCGAGACACGAGACGAGCUCCCAAGGGAGUGAAGUUGUUGAUGCCCUGCUUCCAGGAAAAGCUUCUAAACUUAUGAUUAUGUGAACCGUACCCCAAACCGACACAGGU
rnacentral:rRNA from 1 species